AUGGCUCGUCAAUGCUCUAGAGUGGACUGGUUAAAGGAGGGUGACCAUAACACUGUUUUUUUCCAUGCUCGAGCUUCUGCACGUAGAAGAACAAAUAGAAUUUCUUUGCUUAAACGCGCAGAUGGUUCAAUUUGUGAGGAUCUCCCUGAGACUAGAAAUAUGAUCAAGAAUUUCUAUGCUGAUUUAUUCUCCUCGGAGGACUGUUCCUAUAUGCCUUGGGUUCUGAAUGCCGUACAUUGUAAAGUCACAGAUGACAUGAAUUCAGAAUUGUGUAAACUUAUACCAAUGAAGAAAUCAGAAAAGCUCUAUUUUCAGGUGGGACUGGCGGUACCUGAUGGGGUUUAUUCUAUCAAACACAUUGGGAUUUUUUUGCGUGAUGAAAUUUGUGAUGCAGUUCAUUGCUUUCUGAAUGGUGCGGAGGUUCCACUUUGGUUUUGUGAUUCCACAAUUGUCCUUAUACCAAAGGUAUCAAAACCUGAUCAUCUAACCAACUUCCGCCCUACCAUCCUUUGCAACGUUCUAUACAAAAUAGCUUUCAAGGUCCUUGCUAACAGGUUGAAAGUUUGUUUGCCUGUUAUUGUUUUUGAAUGUCAAAGUGCUUUUGUCCCGGGACGCCUUAUUACUGAUAAUGCACUGAUUGCUUUUGAAUGCCUGCACACAAUCAGAAGACAACGUACCAAGAAACCAUACUUUGCUCUUAAGAUUAACAUGAUAAAGGCGUAUGACAGGGUGAAGUGGUCUUGUCUUAAGGGCUGUUUGACCAAACUUGGUUUUGCUGACACAUGGAUUAAGACUGUUAUGAGGUGUGUAACUGAGGUACGUUAUUCGGUCAGGGUCAAUGGAGAAUUGACAUAUCCUGUGAUACCGACUCGUGGCAUUCGACAAGUUCACCCCAUCAGACUAUACUUAUUUCUUCUUUGUACGGAGGGUCUCUCUUGCUUGCUUCUAAAUAAGGAAGCUGGAGGUGAUUAA
rnacentral:rRNA from 1 species